CUGUGCAUGUUCUCAGUUGAGAUGAGAUCAUUUGUGUACAGUGAGCCUUUAAUCUGGUAUGACUGGUGUCCCUGGGAGAAGGCCUGAGAGACACACAGAGAAAACAGCAGGUGACAUUAGAAGCAGAGAGUAGAGUGGUGCGUCUGAGGAUUUGAAGUCACCAUCAGAAGCUGGGAAAAGAUUUAAAAAGAUGCACCGAGCUUACCGGGCCAGAUAAAAAGCUGAACCAGUGAACAAGACAAAGUUCCUGGUAUGGAAACAGUCAUGGUCCUAUGGGAGAGACAGGCUCACAGACAAUUUUGAUGGAGAAACCACAGAGAUCCAAGCCAAUGGCCUUGGUUUGUUUCACUCGAGAAAGAGCUCUGUGAAGAGCCACUUCAGGUUUCAAUCUUCGGGGGGCUGCAGGAUUGACUCAGUACCACGCGUCUGUAUCUGCUCUUACAGCUUCCCUGCAUAAGGAGGUCUGUGUAACAGGAACCAUCUUCUCCUGUCCCACAGUACAGAGGCCACAGCUCCUGACUCUACUUCCUUUCUGAGCUGACCCAGGUCGAAGGCUCCUCAAAUAGCAGAGUGAACUGUUGACUUGACCAAUAACUUUCAGUUUUGAUUGGACUCAGAUGUUCCGGAGAAAACAGCCUGGAUUGUAUUCUCAGGCAGAAGCAUCUGAAAGAUUCUUGGGGAUGAUGGGGUAAGCCUAAACAUGAUAAAAUUUGGCAGGGAUAUACGUAAGGCUUUGGUUUAUGAAUAAUAAUAAUAAUAAUAAAAUCUGCUACUUGAGUUCAGGUCACUUGGCAGCAAAGAAAGAAGAAAACUAGUCAUUGUUAAUAUCAAUGUUAGUUAAAACAUUCUGGUGCUUUUUCUUAUGUGUGAAUGUGUGGGAAGCCCUGUAAUUGGCUGCCACCUUGUAUCUGCAGGCAGCACCACCUUAACCUCCUCUAGGAGUUAAGUUUGGUAGUUAAGCAGCUCCUUGCCUAGCUUGUUUGGCCCAUUCAAGGAUUAUGUUAAUCAGCCUGCAUGUGGGAAAUUUGAAAAUUUGAAUUAACCUAUAACCCUCAGUCUUGCCACUGUUGCUAAGUUACCUGCUGAUGUCUCAGAACCCAACUUCCCACUCCCCCAAUACCCUGUAUAUUUGAUACUCUUUCUUUGAAUAAACGAGAC